rnacentral:rRNA from 1 species
UUCGCAAUGCCCGAAAGGGUGACGAAGCGACGCCGCGUGGGUGAGGAAGGCCUUCGGGUUGUAAAGCCCUGUCAGGAGUUAAGAAAUGUAAGUGUGCUAAUACCACAUUUGCUUGACGAAGGCUCCAAAGGAAGCCACGGCUAACUCUGUGCCAGCAGCCGCGGUAAUACAGAGGUGGCAAGCGUUGUUCGGAAUUAUUGGGCGUAAAGAGCACGUAGGUGGGUUUGUAAGUCAGAUGUGAAAGCCUUCUGUUCAACGGAAGAAUUGCAUCUGAAACUGCGAGUCUUGAGUGUAGGAGGGGAGAAUGGAACUUCUGGUGGAGCGGUGAAAUGCGUAGAUAUCAGAAGGAAUGCCGGCGGCGAAAGCGAUUCUCUGGCCUAUUACUGACACUCAGUGUGCGAAAGCUAGGGGAGCAAACGGGAUUAGAUACCCCGGUAGUCCUAGCCGUAAACGAUGGGCACUAAGUAGAGGGGUUUU